CGCCGCGUGAGUGAUGAAGGUUUUCGGAUCGUAAAGCUCUGUUGUUAGGGAAGAACAAGUACCGUUCGAAUAGGGCGGUACCUUGACGGUACCUAACCAGAAAGCCACGGCUAACUACGUGCCAGCAGCCGCGGUAAUACGUAGGUGGCAAGCGUUGUCCGGAAUUAUUGGGCGUAAAGGGCUCGCAGGCGGUUUCUUAAGUCUGAUGUGAAAGCCCCCGGCUCAACCGGGGAGGGUCAUUGGAAACUGGGGAACUUGAGUGCAGAAGAGGAGAGUGGAAUUCCACGUGUAGCGGUGAAAUGCGUAGAGAUGUGGAGGAACACCAGUGGCGAAGGCGACUCUCUGGUCUGUAACUGACGCUGAGGAGCGAAAGCGUGGGGAGCGAACAGGAUUAGAUACCCUGGUAGUCCACGCCGUAAACGAUGAGUGCUAAGUGUUAGGGGGUUUCCGCCCCUUAGUGCUGCAGCUAACGCAUUAAGCACUCCG
rnacentral:rRNA from 1 species